rnacentral:rRNA from 1 species
UNUGACUUGAGUGCAGAAGGGGAGAGUGGAAUUCCAUGUGUAGCGGUGAAAUGCGUAGAUAUAUGGAGGAACACCAGUGGCGAAAGCGGCUCUCUGGUCUGUCACUGACGCUGAGGCUCGAAAGCGUGGGUAGCGAACAGGAUUAGAUACCCUGGUAGUNCACGCCGUAAACGAUGAGUGCUAGGUGUUAGGCCCUUUCCGGGGCUUAGUGCCGGAGCUAACGCAAUAAGCACUCCGCCUGGGGAGUACGACCGCAAGGUUGAAACUCAAAGGAAUUGACGGGGGCCCGCACAAGCGGUGGAGCAUGUGGUUUAAUUCGAAGCAACGCGAAGAACCUUACCAGGUCUUGACAUCCCGAUGCUAUUCUUAGAGAUAGGAAGUUACUUCGGUACAUCGGAGACAGGUGGUGCAUGGUUGUCGUCAGCUCGUGUCGUGAGAUGUUGGGUUAAGUCCCGCAACGAGCGCAACCCUUAUUGUUAGUUGCCAUCAUUAAGUUGGGCACUCUAGCGAGACUGCCGGUAAUAAACCGGAGGAAGGUGGGGAUGACGUCAAAUCAUCAUGCCCCUUAUGACCUGGGCUACACACGUGCUACAAUGGUCGGUACAACGAGUUGCGAGCCGGUGACGGCAAGCUAAUCUCUGAAAGCCGAUCUCAGUUCGGAUUGGAGGCUGCAACUCGCCUCCAUGAAGUCGGAAUCGCUAGUAAUCGCGGAUCAGCACGCCGCGGUGAAUACGUUCCCGGGCCUUGUACACAC